rnacentral:rRNA from 1 species
AGCGUGCGCAGGCGGUUUUGUAAGACUGUCGUGAAAUCCCCCGGGCUCAACCUGGGAAUGGCGAUGGUGACUGCAAGGCUAGAGUUUGGCAGGAGGGGGGUAGAAUUCCACGUGUAGCAGUGAAAUGCGUAGAUAUGUGGAGGAACACCGAUGGCGAAGGCAGCCCCCUGGGUCAAAACUGACGCUCAUGCACGAAAGCGUGGGGAGCAAACAGGAUUAGAUACCCGAGU